rnacentral:rRNA from 1 species
CCCUUAGAUGUUCUGGGCCGCACGCGCGCUACACUGACGAUGGCAACGAGUUUUUCCUUCGCCGGAAGGUGUGGGUAAUCUUUUGAAACAUCGUCGUGCUGGGGAUAGAUCAUUGCAAUUUUUGAUCUUGAACGAGGAAUUCCUAGUAAGCGCGAGUCAUCAGCUCGCGUUGAUUACGUCCCUGCCCUUUGUACACACCGCCCGUCGCUACUACCGAUUGAAUGGUUUAGUGAGGACUCCUGAUUGGCGCCGCCGCCCCGGCAACGGAGCAGCGGACUGCCGAAAAGUUGUUCAAACUUGAUCAUUUAGAGGAAGUAAAAGUCGUAACA